rnacentral:rRNA from 1 species
CCUACGGGAGGCUGCAGUGGGGAAUAUUGCACAAUGGGCGCAAGCCUGAUGCAGCCAUGCCGCGUGUGUGAAGAAGGCCUUCGGGUUGUAAAGCACUUUCAGCGGGGAGGAAGGCGUUAAGGUUAAUAACCUUGUCGAUUGACGUUACCCGCAGAAGAAGCACCGGCUAACUCCGUGCCAGCAGCCGCGGUAAUACGGAGGGUGCAAGCGUUAAUCGGAAUUACUGGGCGUAAAGCGCACGCAGGCGGUCUGUCCAGUCGGAUGUGAAAUCCCCGGGCUCAACCUGGGAACUGCAUUCGAAACUGGCAGGCUAGAGUCUUGUAGAGGGGGGUAGAAUUCCAGGUGUAGCGGUGAAAUGCGUAGAGAUCUGGAGGAAUACCGGUGGCGAAGGCGGCCCCCUGGACAAAGACUGACGCUCAGGUGCGAAAGCGUGGGGAGCAAACAGGAUUAGAUACCCCUGUAGUC